UACAGAGGUCUCAAGCGUUUGUUCGGAUUCAUUGGGCGUAAAGGGUGCGUAGGCGGCGCGGUAAGUCGGGUGUGAAAAUUUCGAGGCUUAACUUCGAAACUGCAUUCGAUACUGCCGUGCUUGAGGACUGGAGAGGAGACUGGAAUUUACGGUGUAGCGGUGAAAAUGCGUAGAUAUCGGGAGGAACACCAGUGGCGGAAGGCGGCUUCCUGGCCUGGUUCUUGA
rnacentral:rRNA from 1 species